rnacentral:rRNA from 1 species
CCUACGGGGGGCAGCAGUGAGGAAUAUUGGUCAAUGGUCGAGAGUCUGAACCAGCCAAGUAGCGUGAAGGAUGACUGCCCUAUGGGUUGUAAACUUCUUUUAUAUGGGAAUAAAACGUUCCACGUGUGGGAUUUUGUAUGUACCAUAUGAAUAAGGAUCGGCUAACUCCGUGCCAGCAGCCGCGGUAAUACGGAGGAUCCGAGCGUUAUCCGGAUUUAUUGGGUUUAAAGGGAGCGUAGGUGGAUUGUUAAGUCAGUUGUGAAAGUUUGCGGCUCAACCGUAAAAUUGCAGUUGAAACUGGCAGUCUUGAGUACAGUAGAGGUGGGCGGAAUUCGUGGUGUAGCGGUGAAAUGCUUAGAUAUCACGAAGAACUCCGAUUGCGAAGGCAGUUCACUGGACUGCAACUGACACUGAGGCUCGAAAGUGUGGGUAUCAAACAGGAUUAGAUACCCUGGUAGUC